rnacentral:rRNA from 1 species
CUCGGAGUUUGAUCCUGGCUCAGAUUGAACGCUGGCGGAAUGCUUUACACAUGCAAGUCGAACGGUAGAGGGGGCAACCCCUCGAGAGUGGCGAACGGGUGAGUAAUAUAUCGGAACGUGCCCAGUCGUGGGGGAUAACGUAGCGAAAGUUACGCUAAUACCGCAUACGACCUGAGGUGAACGGGGGGAUCGGCGAAGACCUCGCGCGAUUGGAGCGGCCGAUAUCAGAUUAGGUAGUUGGUGGGGUAAAGGCUCACCAAGCCAACGAUCUGUAGCUGGUCUGAGAGGACGACCAGCCACACUGGAACUGAGACACGGUCCAGACUCCGUACGGGA